rnacentral:lncRNA from 1 species
CAAAUAUUUUCUUCCAGUGGGAACGUUGAUGUGUAUGACCUCCAAGCCUUAUGUGAUAAGGUCAUUAAACUAAUCCCUUUCUCUUCCACACAUUUAGUACUUGAGAUGCUUUAUGAGCAAGGUAAAAUAUUAUUAUCCCCAAAGGAACACAGUGUACAACAGUACAGAGUUAACAUCUUAGAGAACCAACCAAGACCAUACUAGUCCAUUUUAGGUUGAUUAGUUCUGAGAUUUUGUCAAAUUUUUCCUCCCUCCCAACUCAACAUAUGGCUCUGUUCUACAAGAAGAAGGUUCCCAAUGGAAAAGGUAUAAUAACAUUUAUUAUGGAAAGAGUAAAUCAAGCCAUCUUCACUGGUCGCCAGAGCUACAAGAUUCCUUGACUUAAUCAAUCCCAUUUUGAAUAGUACAUCUUUCCAUUAGAGAAAUGAAACCAAGGUCAAGGGAGCCUAGUCCCGUCACCACUAUGUACUGCUCCUUGGCCCAAUGACAGGCUUAAAGCACAAGUUAGUGUCUUUCUUAAGUUUUCAAAUUUUGAGAAAACAUGCAGCUGCAAGUUUUACACACCAAAAGUUCCUAUAUUUGAGGUACCUUGACUUCAAGAUGUCUUCUUGAGAAAAGAUGCUAUAUCAGUCUCAUGUGGAGGCCUUUUUCAAUUGAUGAGACAAUUUAAACUUUUGACAGCCCUCAUUCUCAGAACAACAGUCCUUGUUGUUAUUAACUUUGAACCCUGAACUCCCUCCACACCUUUUCAGAAGAAGUUCUCCUCGUCAAUCUGUUUCAUUCUUGGAAGCGG